rnacentral:rRNA from 1 species
UACGGGGGGCUGCAGUGGGGAAUCUUGGGCAAUGGGCCAAAGCGUGAUCCAGCACUACCGCGUGUGUCAAGAUGCCCUUCGGGUUGUAAAGCACUUUUGUCCGGAAAGAAAUCCAUGUCUCUAAUACGGUAGGGGGAUGACGGUACCGGAAGAAUAAGCACCGGCUAACUUCGUGCCAGCAGCCGCGGUAAUACGUAGGGUGCGAGCGUUAAUCGGAAUUACUGGGCGUAAAGCGUGCGUAGGCGGUUUGUUAAGUCAGAUGUGAAAUCCCGGGGCUCAACCUGGGAACUGCAUUGGAUACUGGCAGUCUAGAGUAUGGCAGAGGUGAGUGGAAUUCCGAGUGUAGCGGUGAAAUUCGUAGAUAUUUGGAGGAAUCACCAGUGGCGAAGCAGCCUCACUGCCUAUACUGACGCUGAGC